rnacentral:rRNA from 1 species
UACAGAGGGUGCGAGCGUUGUCCGGAAUCACUGGGGCGUAAAGGGCGCGUAGGUGGCGCGACAAGUCAGUGGUGAAAGUUCGACGCUCAACGUCGAAUCGGCCACUGAUACUGUUGGGCUUGAGCACUGUAGAGGCUAAUGGAAUUCCGGGUGUAGCGGUGGAAUGCGUAGAGAUCCGGAAGAACACCGGUGGCGAAGGCGGUUAGCUGGGCAGUUGCUGACACUGAGGCGCGACAGCGUGGGGAGCAAACAGG